GCGAAAGCAAUGCGAAGCCUCCGGAGUGCGGUGGGAGUGCUCCCACUGCACUUCUGAGGCUUCGCGUUGCUAUCGCUGAAGC
rnacentral:miRNA from 1 species